rnacentral:lncRNA from 1 species
CCCCAAGAAGAUGCAGACUAAGAAAUGCCAAUGCUUUGAUGGGUACAAGGAAGAAAUAGGACUAAGACAAGACAAAUAAUGGAGGACUUACAUGGCAGAGGUAAAUCACCCACAUCUCUUUCUCCAACUCCUUAUGCUCGAUGCUCAGCAUUGAAGCCCUUUACCCCAGGGACAAAUACAAGUUUGACAAAGCCAUCUGAGGAAAAACAGGCAACAAGGAGAAGUGCAGAGACAAGGUGGGGAAAGCCCCUUACAAAACCAUCAGAUCUCGUGAGAACUCAUCCACAUCACAAGAACAGCAUGAAGAAACGGAACAAGGGGAAUGCAAUCUCACAGGAUGGAAAUAACCUGUGGUGAAUUGUUGCCAUCCAGAUCCACUUUUAAGUCCACAUGGUUCAUUCAUUUUGGACUAGAUCCUGGUACAGCCCAGUGAACUGAUAUUCUUGAAAUCAGGCACAGAGGCUCUGAAGUAAUGCAUUACAUUUGCAUCCAUGAUUUGCUUAAAAUGUUCCAUUUAGCCUUUCCUCCCAGGAAACAAAGCCAGCAGUAUUUGAUUAUUGAAUAGCUCGUUUUGGAUGCUUAGUUUGAGAAGAUUUUAUUAAGAUUAUGGGAAACUUGAAUUUUACAAAAUGAAUCAUGAGUUAUAUUUCAGUUUUGAUUUGUCUCCAAGGGUUGAAAUACAUAGAAGUCUAGGAUACAUUAUAUAUUAGCUCUAUUUUAGCAUGCAUUUAAUGCAAUCACAGGCAAAAAUCAAAUGCUUUAAAGAAAAAGAUUGCAGUUUUAGAAAUGAAGGAUGUGAAAAAGGACGAAUCUAUAUAAAUAAAAGUGAACUUAGAGUAAUAACAUGCAAUAUAGUCUAUGUAGAUAUGCAUAUUUUAAUUGUAUAUUACUAUUUGUCCCAUCACAAUAAUUGGUUUAAACAAUGGUGUAUUUAUAUGUGUAAAACAAAGUUUGGUAUGUGUGUGCACACAUAUACACACAGAAACACACACACACACUUUUCUAAUCAACUAACAUUUAAGAAAUACCACUGAAGGAAAUAUUAAUGACAGAAAGAGCUUUUCUGCACACAGAAAAGCACGCACACUCCUAUGCAGCAUACAAAUAGGUAAGAGUACAUGUUUUCCCUGAAAGAAGAGCAAGAGACCAACGGAAUAAGCCCCUUUACUGGGUUCCCAUAUGGCUGAAUGGUCUCAAUAUCUCAAUCUUUAGAACAUACCUCAGCAUCUCCACAUCUCCUCCUACCUCUGUCCUGUGUUGCUGGGACACAGGGGCAGGAAAUGGAUGCAUCCCUUCCCAUGCACGCCCAAACAGCUCCUCAACUCAAUCUCAGCCCCAUGCCUCUUCUAUUCUUCUGUGAGGAAGUGGCUUCUCAUGACCUAUCCGAGAGCUCAGCACAUGUUAAGUUCUCACACAGGCUUAAGCCAACAUAAUCGUCAACAUUAAAAAGUAACAACAUAAUAUUUGGGCGGAUGAUGUUUUCUGUUCAUAAUCAACAGUGACUUCUCAGAGUGGCCUUUUCUGACCUCUCUAUCUAAAUAGUACUUUACGUUUUCUCUAUCCCCUCCCUAAAUUACUCUGGUUCAUUUUUUGUCAAAGAAUUUUUACUGCUGAAUAGUGUCAUAGACCUAUUCAUUUAUUUAUUUUCUCACUCUUCCCAGUAAAAUAUAAGAUGCGUGGAGAAGAAGUUUGUUUUGUUCCCCUCUGCCAUAUGGGAAAGAACAGUGGUGGAAUUUAGUAGAUGCUCAAUAAAUAUUUGUUGAUUUAAUAAAAAAAUUCAUUUGUUGGGUUUCUUAAGUUGGCUUAUCCCAGAUGCAGAUCCAAAGCCGAGGAUGGAGUUGCAAGUGAUGCAUUAAGGAUGUGUUUCCAGGAGCAUCCAGAAAGGAGACAGGGACAUGGAGCAGGACAGGAAAGGCGAAGGAAGCAAGAGUUUCAUUUUAGGUGGACACAGGUAGUUCUCAUGAGAAGACCUGAGAUGUAAAUUUCAACUCUAAGUUUUUCACCUGGAAGCAAAGGAACUAUACUUCCCACCAAAAAAUACCUAAUUACUCGGAGCCCCUGAUUGGGAGGGAGGUAGUAAACUUUCCCUCCUAGUUUGUUGUUGCCACACACCUCACUUAAUUUUCUUGAACCACUUCGCUCUUUAGAUGGUGACAAUUAACUAAGUUGAGCAACUAAUGUUUCAAAAAGAUAGAGGGUCCCCUAUUUUCCUAUUAAAUAAAGCAUAUACUUUAAAGUGGCCUAAUUUUUACACAGUGUCAUCCGGUCUGUGAAGCACUGUCAUAUGUAGUACUGAUAUCCUUUGAUUCUCAAAACAACCCUUUAAGCUAGAAGUAAAAAUGUUCUUUCUUUCUCUUGCCACAUUUUGAAAAACUGAGAUCCAGAUAGGUUAAGUUUUAGUAGUUGAGCCAAGAUUAAAAAAGGAGCUUGAUUGCAGAAAUUAUUUAUGUUCUUACUGCUAUACCAAGCUGUCACACAAAGAGAUUAUUCUGCCUUUAUUUUCUUAAUCACUAAGAUUCUAAAAAUAAAAAAACUCCAGGCCAAGUAAGUGGGGAAGAAGAAAUCAAACCAGAUUAAUGAGGGAAAUGUUAACGACAGAAAGAGCUUGGAGGCUCUCCAAUCACAUUGAGCAGGGGCUGCUGAUUCCAUCUGUGCUGAAGAAUAGUGUGACACUGCGCCACCCCCAUGCUACCCGCCCCUCUGUUUAGUCCCUCAUACUUACCAUGUGAGUUGUCUUUAUUCCAUUGAAUCCUACUCUAAAUUCUGCAUUUUAAGAUUUUCAAGAUUUCACUAAUGGAAAAGAAUUUGAAAAAUAACAUUUGAAGAAUGGUAGUGGGCUUUAAUAGUCAAUGAAGAGUGAAAAGAAGUAUUUGUUUGGACAAAAACCGAAUCCAGAAAACAGCUGAUGACCUACAUACUAGCUGGAAUGACUUUGCCUUCAGGUUAUAAAAGCACUUUGUAUCUAUUUAUUUGUCUGGCUACUGUGAAAAUAAACACUUCUAUGCAAUCAAAAUCUGAACUUCUGAAAAAUAAAGUUUUUUAACACCUAAGUAUGUUGGCACUUCACAGGUAUAAAUACUGAUGUUUUUUGGAACUCUUCUUUCGUAUUUAAAUAUGAGAGGUCACAGUAAAA